rnacentral:rRNA from 1 species
GACGAACGCUGGCGGCGUGCCUAAUACAUGCAAGUAGAACGCACAGUUUAUACCGUAGCUUGCUACACCAUAUACUGUGAGUUGCGAACGGGUGAGUAACGCGUAGGUAACCUGCCUGGUAGCGGGGGAUAACUAUUGGAAACGAUAGCUAAUACCGCAUAAUAUUGAUUAUUGCAUGAUAAUUAAUUGAAAGGUGCAAUUGCAUCACUACCAGAUGGACCUGCGUUGUAUUAGCUAGUAGGUGAGGUAACGGCUCACCUAGGCGACGAUACAUAGCCGACCUGAGAGGGUGAUCGGCCACACUGGGACUGAGACACGGCCCAGACUCCUACGGGAGGCAGCAGUAGGGAAUCUUCGGCAAUGGACGAAAGUCUGACCGAGCAACGCCGCGUGAGUGAAGAAGGUUUUCGGAUCGUAAAGCUCUGUUGUAAGAGAAGAACGGGUGUGAGAGUGGAAAGUUCACACUGUGACGGUAUCUUACCAGAAAGGGACGGCUAACUACGUG